ensembl:lncRNA
UAGAUUCUAUCAGUGGCCACGCCCCCUUGAAGGUUAAAUCGUCUGUCAUCAAGGAAGUUAAAAGUUUUUCAAGGCUGAAGGAGGAGAGAUGUCUGCUGGUACAUCUGCGUCACUCUGCUGCGGUUUGCUGUCUGCCUGCGUCCUGCUGGUCUCUGCAGUCCAGAGAAACAUCACAGUUGAGCCCGGACAGAACGUCACUCUGCCAUGUCGAGCUCCAAACAACACCAGGUCCAUCUGCGUAGCAGAGUGGAGCAGGGCUGACCUCGGGACAGAUUAUGUCCUUUUCUACAGAGAGAAGCGAAUUGAUCCAGACAACCAGCAUCCAUCCUUUGUGAACCGGGUAGAUCUGCAGGAUGGAGAGAUCACAGAUGGAGACGUGUCUUUGAUUCUGAAGCAUGUGACGGCUAACGACACUGGAACGUACCAUUGUCGUGUCGUUAAAUGCCGUCAACGUCUUAAUAUUCCCACCCCCCCCAUCAGCAGCAUCCAGCUGACUGUUGUUGAUCUUUCAGAUCUACAACGAAGCGUCAGCAAUGGAGGAAGCUUGAUUGCAUGUGUUGGACUUAUAGCUGGUCUGUUACUUUCUGCUGUGCUUCUUGUUGCUGAACUCUGAGUCAACACUGUUGUCAUCCAGGAUUUGAAAGAUUCCCACAACUGGAAAGAUUCCAAUGAAUGUCAAACCCACUCGUCAUCACGCUCAUCAACCAGCAGGGGGUGAUGUGAUAAUAGAAAAUUCAGUUAUAGCAAAUGUAGAAUUUUUGUGUUUUAAUUCAGAGAAGCAACACGCUUUGAUAAUAUUCAUGUUAGCAGCACUGAUCCUGAGUUCAAACCUGAGCAGGACACUCCCACCAGUGCAAACAAAUAUUAAUUCACUGUAACUUUUAACCCUUGACCUUUAUUUGUUGAACUACAAAAGUCCAGCUUAUUGUUCAUUAUUCUGUGCAAUGUCACGAGCCAUUAAAAAUCGGAUGAAAAGUUUUGCAGUAACAUGUGUCCUACAUUUAUUUUGUAUCUUUUAUUUGUCACAUUUCAUUUUUACUGUGUACUGAAAACAACAGCUGAAUAAAGUGAAUAAUGCUGUGAG